rnacentral:rRNA from 1 species
UACGAAGGGGGCUAGCGUUGCUCGGAAUCACUGGGCGUAAAGCGCACGUAGGCGGACUCUUAAGUCGGGGGUGAAAGCCCAGGGCUCAACCCUGGAAUUGCCUUCGAUACUGGGAGUCUUGAGUAUGGCAGAGGUUGGUGGAACUGCGAGUGUAGAGGUGAAAUUCGUAGAUAUUCGCAAGAACACCAGUGGCGAAGGCGGCCAACUGGGCCAUUACUGACGCUGAGGUGCGAAAGCGUGGGAAGCAAACAGG